rnacentral:rRNA from 1 species
AACGGGUGAGUAACACGUGAGCAACCUGCCCCUGACUCUGGGAUAAGCGCUGGAAACGGCGUCUAAUACUGGAUACGAACAAGAAUCGCAUGGUUACUUGUUGGAAAGAUUUUUCGGUUGGGGAUGGGCUCGCGGCCUAUCAGCUUGUUGGUGAGGUAAUGGCUCACCAAGGCGUCGACGGGUAGCCGGCCUGAGAGGGUGACCGGCCACACUGGGACUGAGACACGGCCCAGACUCCUACGGGAGGCAGCAGUGGGGAAUAUUGCACAAUGGGCGCAAGCCUGAUGCAGCAACGCCGCGUGAGGGAUGACGGCCUUCGGGUUGUAAACCUCUUUUAGCAGGGAAGAAGCGAGAGUGACGGUACCUGCAGAAAAAGCACCGGCUAACUACGUGCCAGCAGCCGCGGUAAUACGUAGGGUGCAAGCGUUAUCCGGAAUUAUUGGGCGUAAAGAGCUCGUAGGCGGUUUGUCGCGUCUGCUGUGAAAUCUGGGGGCUCAACCCCCAGCCUGCAGUGGGUACGGGCAGACUAGAGUGCGGUAGGGGAGAUUGGAAUUCCUGGUGUAGCGGUGGAAUGCGCAGAUAUCAGGAGGAACACCGAUGGCGAAGGCAGAUCUCUGGGCCGUAACUGACG